ACCUAGCCCUGAUUGCAGUGGAAAUCCUUUUAUUUUGUUGCCUGAGGUUACUCGAAGGCAACAAAAUAAAAGAUUGCAACGGAAAGCAGGAAAAUGG
rnacentral:sRNA from 1 species